UACAGAGGGGGCAAGCGUUGUUCGGAAUUACUGGGCGUAAAGGGCGCGUAGGCGGCCUGUUAAGUCGAGCGUGAAAUCCCCGGGCUCAACCCGGGAACUGCGUCCGAUACUGGCAGGCUUGAAUUCGGGAGAGGGAUGUGGAAUUCCAGGUGUAGCGGUGAAAUGCGUAGAUAUCUGGAGGAACACCGGUGGCGAAGGCGGCAUCCUGGACCGAUAUUGACGCUGAUGCGCGAAAGCCAGGGGAGCAAACGGG
rnacentral:rRNA from 1 species